GUUGGACAGGGCUUGGAGCAACCUGGUCUAGUGGAAGGUGCUCCCAACCAUGGCACGGGGUUGGGACUGAAUAAGCUUUAAGGUCUCUUCCAACCCAUAUACGCUAUGAUUCUACGAUUUGCUCAGCCUAAUAAUCUAGAAAGUGCACUACAUUACGCAGCACAGGAGCUCCUGACUACCUCUGAAGACCUCUUGUGUACACACACAGAAAAAUAUCCAAAUCAACUGAUGCCUUCAAAUAAUGAAUGGAGCAAAGUUUGAUUUCAGCAAAAGAUGUCCACUGCACUGGAAGCAAAGCCACUCUUACUAUCAGCAUAGCUAACUUGACAAUAAAGGCUUCAGGUGAAACUGAAGAUGGGGACAAGCCAAGUUCAUCAGCAGAUCAGUUGAAUCAACUGCUAAACUGAUUUUGUUAUUAAAGACACACGCACGAAAA